rnacentral:rRNA from 1 species
UCCCAUCCCGAACUCGGCCGUGAAGACCCUCAGCGCCGAUGGUACUGCAUCUUAAGGUGUGGGAGAGUAGGUCGCUGCC